CCAAUAGCGUAUAUUAAAGUUGUUGCAGUUAAAAAGCUCGUAGUUGAAUUUCGGGAUCAAAUUGUCGGUCGUGCCUCGGUACGAACUGGUAUUAUUGGUUCCUACCUUCUGAAGAACCGCGAUGUCAUUAAUUUGGUGUCGUGGGGAAUCAGGACUGUUACUUUGAAAAAAUUAGAGUGUUUAAAGCAGGCUUACGCUUGAAUACAUUAGCAUGGAAUAAUGAAAUAGGACGUUUGAUUCUAUUUUGUUGGUUUCUAGGAUUGACGUAAUGAUUAAUAGGGAUAGUUGGGGGCAUUAGUAUUCAAUUGUCAGAGGUGAAAUUCUUGGAUUUAUUGAAGACUAACUACUGCGAAAGCAUUUGCCAAGGAUGUUUUCAUUAAUCAAGAACGAAAGUUAGGGGAUCGAAGACGAUCAGAUACCGUCGUAGUCUUAACCAUAAACUAUGCCGACUAGGGAUCGGAUGAUGUUAAUUUUUUAAUGACUCAUUCGGCGCCUUACA
rnacentral:rRNA from 1 species